UCGGGUAUGGUGCACGGCGCACGGCUCCUUACAAUUCGCAAUAGUGACCGAGUUGUCGCAGGAGCAGCCCGGGGUUCGACUCCCCGUGCCCGAA